UCAGAUUGAACGCUGGCGGCAGGCCUAACACAUGCAAGUCGGACGGUAGCACAGAGGAGCUUGCUCCUUGGGUGACGAGUGGCGGACGGGUGAGUAAUGUCUGGGGAUCUGCCCGAUAGAGGGGGAUAACCACUGGAAACGGUGGCUAAUACCGCAUAACGUCGCAAGACCAAAGAGGGGGACCUUCGGGCCUCUCACUAUCGGAUGAACCCAGAUGGGAUUAGCUAGUAGGCGGGGUAAUGGCCCACCUAGGCGACGAUCCCUAGCUGGUCUGAGAGGAUGACCAGCCACACUGGAACUGAGACACGGUCCAGACUCCUACGGGAGGCAGCAGUGGGGAAUAUUGCACAAUGGGCGCAAGCCUGAUGCAGCCAUGCCGCGUGUAUGAAGAAGGCCUUCGGGUUGUAAAGUACUUUCAGCGGGGAGGAAGGCGGUGAGGUUAAU
rnacentral:rRNA from 1 species